rnacentral:rRNA from 1 species
GGGAAACCUACCCGGCCCGGACACAGUAAGGAUUGACAGAUUGAGAGCUCUUUCUCGAUUUUGUGGAUGGUGGUGCAUGGCCGUUCUUAGUUGGUGGAGUGAUUUGUCUGGUUAAUUCCGAUAACGAACGAGACUCUGGCUUGCUAUAUAGUCCGGCCACCCGUCGUGGUGUGCCGCGUCUAACUUCAUAGAGGGACAAAUGGCUUUCAGCCAUACGAGAUAGAGCAAUAA